GCUGAUUCGAAGCAUCAACUAUAACUAAGUUUUACGAAAUGACUGAAACAGGCAACAUCUCCGAUUCCGAUUUGGCUGAGGGUUUUAGCGAAAACGAUGAACUGGACAAAACCCUCAGCCAAAUAGACUUCUCCGUCCUCACCGCCUCUCUCAGCACGCCGAGCGCCUCAACUUCCCUCCCCAGCACUUCUACAGCCUCCCCCCGCCCCGCCUCUCCAAGCCUCGCCAGUACGCCAACAACAAAAAAAUUCCGCGCGGACUGGUUGGAGCGAGAGCGGGAGCGAGUGGAGAGAAAAUAAAAGAAGCAAGAAUUAAAAUGCGCCAAGGGAAGGAGAAGUUGCGGAAAUGGAAUAACAACGUAAAAUAUGCUAGGGCCACCUUAUCCCGCCAUUUAAAGGAUGAGGCGGCCGCUAGAAAAGAGUUGGCGCUGGUGAAGGAGCGGUUGGCCAAAAUGGAGGCCAGGGAAAAGGAGAUGUUGUGCUAAUUUUUAACUGUUUUUUUUUAUUAUGUUUUGCCUUUUUUUUAAACAUUCAAAAUUCAGAAAACAAUAAAACAUUCUUUUAAACAUAUCCUU